AUGAACGCUGGCGGCGUGCCUAAUCCCUGCAAGUCGCGCGAACAGACGAGGAGCUUGCUCCUCUGACGUUAGCGGCGGACGGGUGAGUAACACGUGGAUAACCUACCUAUAAGACUGGGAUAACUUCGGGAAACCGGAGCUAAUACCGGAUAAUAUAUUGAACCGCAUGGUUCAAUAGUGAAAGACGGUUUUGCUGUCACUUAUAGAUGGAUCCGCGCCGCAUUAGCUAGUUGGUAAGGUAACGGCUUACCAAGGCAACAAUGCGUAGCCGACCUGAGAGGGUGAUCGGCCACACUGGAACUGAGACACGGUCCAGACUCCUACGGGAGGCAGCAGUAGGGAAUCUUCCGCAAUGGGCGAAAGCCUGACGGAGCAACGCCGCGUGAGUGAUGAAGGUCUUCGGAUCGUAAAACUCUGUUAUUAGGGAAGAACAAAUGUGUAAGUAACUAUGCACGUCUUGACGGUACCUAAUCAGAAAGCCACGGCUAACUACGUG
rnacentral:rRNA from 1 species